rnacentral:rRNA from 1 species
UACGGGGGGUGCGAGCGUUGUCCGGAAUCACUGGGCGUAAAGGGCGCGUAGGUGGUUUGAUAAGGGUGUGGUGAAAGUCCGGAGCUCAACUCCGGAUCUGCCGUGCCGACUGUCAAACUCGAGGGCUGUAGAGGCAGACGGAAUUCCGGGUGUAGCGGUGGAAUGCGUAGAGAUCGGGAAGAAUACCUGUGGCGAAGGCGGCCAGCUGGGCCAGAUCCGACACUGAGGCGCGAAAGCGUGGGGAGCAAACAGG